AUUCAGGAUUAGACCCACCCGUUGUAUAAAGUAAUACUAGUCCCAUCCAAUAAGAGUUUUAAAAGGGAAAAUUCACUUAUUUUACAUCAACGCGAUGAUGUGGAAACACUGGACAGUUACUUAACAAUUUAAUGUCUGUAUGAAAUAUAAUCCUAUAUUCAUAAAAUAAGUAUAUCAGAUGAAUUACCAGCCUUGAGAAUUUCAAUCAUGCCGAUAGGUUGAUAUUUUAUUGGGGCCGGGAGUAGAUGCAGGUGUCUGAUAUCAAACUCGUUUGACACGGUCAUGAGAACAUCCAGGUAGACCCUUUCCAUCGUGUGCAAACAUUGGCACGAUAAGUGGAUGCCAGCACGUUUAGAUGGCAGUAGCUACAUUCAGUGAAGAAGUUGUAUCUUUGUAACCACUCGGGAGCAGACGAAAAACACAACAGCUGAUGUUAUGAAGAAUACGUUUGAUUUCAAUGUACACAUUUGAAGCUAAAAGCUUAUUUACUUUCUGCAUUGCCUACGACAACAAAAAAACAAGAUUAGAUAAAAAUGUGGCAUAGCUGAAAUCCCUUGCGCCAAAAGCACCUGUACUCACUAGCACAGUGACAUUGACACAGCGUCAGGGGAGACCAACACAGAGGACCUGUCAGAGCCACUCACGGCUCUCUAUGUCGCCAAUCUAAGGGACCUCUCACCACAUGAAGUACAGGAGAAGAGGCUUUUCCAGAGGAUUGAAACAGAAACUGACGUGUAAUCAGUGUGAAACCAUUGAGCUUAUGUCCAAGGAGCAGUCCAAAUGCCAGGCCUGGCACACACACCGAAUCGGACGAAUAACAAGCACCGCCUUCCAUCGUGUGUGCGAGGCAGGCGAAAACACAGAUAAAAUCAACUUGGUAAAAAAAGACAAUGCAUUACAAUGACAGUGAGUUGCAUCAUGUCCCUGCUGUACUUUGGGGGAAAAGACAUGGAGGACACAGCCAGAAAGAGCUACACAGAAGAAAUUUGCAAAAUACAUCACAAUUUCAGUGUGAAGCUCUCCGGUCAAUCUGAUCUCGGGGCAUCCCCAGAUGGAAUGGUAAACUGUUCCUGUUGUGGAUAGAGGAACCCAUAAAGUUAAGUACCCAUACAAAUACUGCCUUACAGGGUGCCGUGAUGACACACAGUUCUGUUUGGAGGAAUCACUGCACCUAAAGAAGAAUCAUCAAUAUUACCACCAAGUUCAACUUCACAUGUUUGUAUGCAAUGUCUAACACUGUGACUUUGUGGUUUGGACAAGUGCAGAGGUCAAUGUGCAUCACAUAAUCAGAUAUUAAAAAAUGCUGCAAAAAGCCCUACCUAAGGCCGAAAGCUUCUUUCUUGCAAGUGUUUUGCCGGAACUGUUGAAACAAAGCCACGACCCUCUCCUAAAAACACUUCAACAUUUCUCACUGUGAUAUGCCAGAAUCUGUACAAUCUCAAGCAAGUAAAAACACAACAUGUAGUGAAUUGUUUAUAAAAUUAAUUAAACUAUUUUACUUUAGUAAGGAUGUUGCAAUAUCACAUCACACAUAUAGCACAAAAACACCUUAUAUGAUCACAUUGUAACAGUUUUCUGUUCUUAUCUUCUAGCAAUAACACUCUUGGUUAGAUUUUACAUGACACACUAUCACCACCAUAUCAUCUAAUAGAAUUAUUUCAAGAUUUUAC
rnacentral:lncRNA from 1 species